rnacentral:rRNA from 1 species
GAUGAACGCUGGCGGCGUGCCUAAUACAUGCAAGUCGAGCGAACGGACGAGAAGCUUGCUUUUCUGAUGUUAGCGGCGGACGGGUGAGUAACACGUGGAUAACCUACCUAUAAGACUGGGAUAACUUCGGGAAACCGGAGCUAAUACCGGAUAAUAUUUUGAACCGCAUGGUUCAAAAGUGAAAGACGGUCUUGCUGUCACUUAUAGAUGGAUCCGCGCUGCAUUAGCUAGUUGGUAAGGUAACGGCUUACCAAGGCAACGAUGCAUAGCCGACCUGAGAGGGUGAUCGGCCACACUGGAACUGAGACACGGUCCAGACUCCUACGGGAGGCAGCAGUAGGGAAUCUUCCGCAAUGGGCGAAAGCCUGACGGAGCAACGCCGCGUGAGUGAUGAAGGUCUUCGGAUCGGAAAACUCUGUUAUUAGGGAAGAACAUAUGUGUAAGUAACUGUGCACAUCUUGACGGUACCUAAUCAGAAAGCCACGGCUAACUACGUG